CCCUGUAACGAUCAACCGCCGGCUCGGCCGGGCCGCCAUCUUGUUUUCAAACAUGCUUCGAGUUAGUUCCCGGCAGGGAGAGGAGACACAUACCGGCGAGGAAAUACGAUGAGAGCAGGAAAAGGGAGACAUUUAUGAGGAAAGAGACGGAAUACCAUCUGCAGCCCCGUUCCUGUUGGCCUGCUGCUGCCUGAGUUUCCCACCAACACAAUUACUGAAGUCACUCUGAGGGCUUGAUGCUCGGUUCUAUGAUGGUUUUGCUCGGAUGCAGCUUUAGAUCCUGUUUGAUCUGCGUUUCGGUUUGUGGGCGGUGAAAACCCGGCUGAGCCGUCAAACGGACAAAUCUGAGGCCCAGUAAAGUCAAAAAUGCAGCUGCAGCCGCCCACUCCCCCAUUGUUGCUUCCUAAUUGUUCAGAUUCAGAACAAUGGGGCUGGAGGUGGAAGCUAACUGCUUGUUAAUCAUCGUAAAACUGUUUGAAACCCACACAACGCAGGAAAACCUCCCCACUGUCUCCUCAGAUUAAACAAUCUGUCAAAAUUA